CCGCGAUGGAAACUGCGGGCGAGUGCGUCUCUAAGUGUCGCUGCUACCAGAAAGAAACCCAAAUCGACAGCUGUGCCCACGCCGCCUGCCGCUGGAGUUUUAUACAAAUGAGUUAUUUCAAGACUUGUUUUUUAAAAGGUUAAAAAUAGCAGGUAAGGAUACGACCAGAAGACUAACACCUAGACCAGGAAGAGGGCCCUUGCCAGGAACCCAGGGAUGCUGCACCCUGAUCUCAGACUUCCAACCUCCAGAACUGCCUGGGUAUCCUGUUACAUAAACUCUAAGUCUGUAGAAAUUCACCAAGACAAAAAUACAAGAGCAGGAAAUGUGAACCAUACUCCUGCAGCCUUAACUAAGCGUCUUCUGUGACUAUGAAGGACAAAGGAUUGAUUCUUCCGUUCCUGGGGCACUGCAGAGAACAAGGACGCAUGCAGAGUGUACGCCGGCCCCUUCUCUCCUUUCCUGGCCUCCCUUGGUGGCUGCAUGCCUCCGUCACAGAACUACCCAGAAUGGAGGUGACUCUUGGACCUCCACUGUCCCUCACUGCAGUGCAGCCUGGCUUCUGCCCACCACCCCUCCAACGCUCUCCUAAAGGGCAC